CAAACAUGUGUCAUAUGAACUUGCAUAAUUGACAUACAGAGAUGAAAAAUAUCAAUCAAAUUGAAAAUGCCACAUAAAAAUCCAGAAAAAUUCACAUAGCAUCUCAACAUAUCCAUAAACAUCCAUGCAAAAUUUCAAUUCAUUUCAACAAGCAUAGGCUAGGCAAAUAAUUUCAUGAAGUUGCCCUAGUUAGGUGUGACACAAAUUGUCACACCUAAGUUCAAAAAAUCAUAUCUCACUCCACAGGUAUCCAAAAUUCACAAACUUUAUAUGUAAAUCACCAUCAACAUAUCCACAAUAUGCUCAAAAAAUUUCAAGAAUUUCUUUUAAGGCAUGAGUAUUU
rnacentral:lncRNA from 1 species